rnacentral:tRNA from 1 species
GGAAAAGUAGCCAUUGGAAAGGUAAGAUAUUUGCUAAAUAUUGUGUAGUACACCUAGAUGUUCGAAUCAUCUCUUUUCCG